GACGAACGCUGGCGGCGUGCUUAACACAUGCAAGUCGAACGGAAAGGCUCCAGCUUGCUGGAGUACUCGAGUGGCGAACGGGUGAGUAACACGUGGGUGAUCCGCCCUGCACUUCGGGAUAAGCCUGGGAAACUGGGUCUAAUACCGGAUAGGACCGCACUUUGGUGUGUGUGGUGGAAAGGUUUUUCUGGUGUGGGAUGAGCUUGCGGCCUAUCAGUUUGUUGGUGGGGUAAUGGCCUACCAAGACGGCGACGGGUAGCCCGCCUGAGAGGGUGGACGGUCACCCUGGGACCUAGGGAAGGCCCCGGCUCCUACGGGAGGGAGAAGGGGGGAAGAAUGCACAAGGGGGGAAACCCUGAUGCAGCGACGCCGCGUGGGGGAUGAAGGCCUUCGGGUUGUAAACUCCUUUCGCUAGGGACGAAGCUUUUUGUGACGGUACCUGGAGAAGAAGCACCGGCUAACUACGUG
rnacentral:rRNA from 1 species